AUCGCCUGCCAUCCUCUGCGGCGGCGGCUUGUACGACAAUGCGGGGCCAUGACCUUUGUCCCACGGGGGCUUGUGUGUCGCGGUGGGGCUUUCCUGAGUGGCUGGCUUCCUUUUUGCCCUCCUUUCUUUGCGAUAAAAGGCGUCGCCUCCCUCCCUCUAUCGCUCCGUGGUCGGUGUGUUUGUUAGCCGUUGGCCUCCUCCUGCCCGUCGAAGGGAAACGCGCGUGCGUGCGUAUUAACCGGCGUUUCUGGAAGGGCCUGAGUCGCUUCAUCCUCGCUUUCCAUUUGCUUUUCUUCCUCAGAUUCCUGAAGGGAGGCGGCAGCGGCGGCGGCAGCAUGGACUCAGUGCAUCCCGACCUUUGGGAGCUUCUCGAAGAUACCUGUGCCGCUUUGCCAAACAAACCAGCGCACAGGGGGUCACAAAGAUAACUUUAUUACCGUUCAAAAGGGUACAUCUGUGUCAGCUAUGCAGUGAGGUUUUCUAAUUCAUGCACCUAAUGGUCCAACUGAAGCGGCGGCAAAAAGGAACUGAGGGGACCUUUGGAGGCCACGAAGAAGAAGCAUUAUUCUGCUAAAUGCUGUUCUAGUAAAUCAACCUUCAUCUGCAAGAAUCAAGUGAAUUGCCGAAGUGCCCCAUAGGAAAGCAUAGAGAGACUGAACUAUGACUUCCAUGAAGCACCAAAAAUGCAUCUUCAGUGAGAGAUGCAUACAGGGAAUCCUCAUCAUUUUGGUACAAUUUUACGUAUUCCAUGAGCUGGAGCUGAAGAAACACUUCUCACCAGGUCUCAUCAGAGAAGACAAAAAGUCUAGCCCAAAGAUGGCGAUUGUAAAACAACCAAUUGACAUCCUGCUGUGAUUUAUAUAUAUUGUUGUGGCUUAGACAUCAGAAGAGAUGCAGGGAGAAGGCAGAACAACUUGGUGUGAUAAAGUGAUGUCUCUUCCUACCCAAAAUUGGAAAUAGAGAUAUGAGAGACAAGUUCCUUAUCCACAAUCUAGUAAACAGUGUGUCCUUACCUUCCUUGAGCUGAGGUGCUGUUUGUCUUUAUAGGUGCUGUUUUCUAAGCAGAAGGGUCUCAGAAGAGUUGAGUUACUCCACAGUGGUUUGCCUAUGUCUGUUUACUUAUGAAUAAAACUUACCAGAUAUA